rnacentral:rRNA from 1 species
CCUGGCUCAGAUUGAACGCUGGCGGCAUGCCUAACACAUGCAAGUCGAACGGCAGCACGGUCUAGUUUACUAGAUGGGUGGCGAGUGGCGGACGGGUGAGUAAUGCGCAGGAAUAUGCCUUAAAGUGGGGGACAACUUGGGGAAACUCAAGCUAAUACCGCGUAAUCUCUUCGGAGAAAAGCUGGGGACCUACGGGCCUGGCGCUUUAAGAUUAGCCU